UUUUCUCAUACUUUAUGCAAUAGGUCUACUAUAUUUGUUGUAUGGAAUGAUUGUAAGGUGAACAUGUCUAGCGGGCAGAUGUCAUCUGACCUUGACAUCAUUUUCAUGGUUCAGUGGUCAAGUUAAGUUUUUAAGUUUUGGUCUUUUUAUCUUAUAUUAUAUGCCAAAGGUCAACUAUAUUUGGUGUAUGGAAAUAUAUUAUGAUCUAUAUGUCAGUCCCGCAGG
rnacentral:lncRNA from 1 species